CCUACGGGGGGCAGCAGUGGGGAAUUUUGGGCAAUGGCCGCAAGGCUGACCCAGCGACGCCGCGUGUGGGAGGAAGCCCUUCGGGGUGUAAACCACUGUCGGGGGGGACGCGGUACCCCCAAAGGAAGCGCCGGCUAACUCCGUGCCAGCAGCCGCGGUAAGACGGAGGGCGCAAGCGUUGUUCGGAAUUACUGGGCGUAAAGCGCGCGCAGGCGGGAAGAUAAGUCUGGAGUGAAAUUCCGGGGCUCAACUCCGGAGCUGCUUUGGAUACUGUCUUUCUAGGGACCGGUAGAGGUCGGUGGAAUUCCCGGUGUAGCGGUGGAAUGCGUAGAGAUCGGGAAGAACACCCGUGGCGAAGGCGGCCGACUGGGCCGGUCCGACGCUGAGGCGCGAAAGCGUGGGGAGCAAACAGGAUUAGAUACCCUUGUAGUC
rnacentral:rRNA from 1 species